AUUAGCCAAAGGCUCCAAGUCCCCUUGAUCUCGCAAGAACGUACUGCCAGAAUUACGUUGAUCCACCAGGUUUUGAAGUAAAAACCGUCAAUGAUGUCAUAGCCUUUUAAAAAAGGAGACUUUCUUCUCGAAUGCAAAGGGGAUCUGAUAACACGAGUAAAACAUGCACGGCAAUUAGAAAAGGAGUAUGAAAAGGAGAGUCAAGGCAGCUUCAUUUACUUUUUUAAAUACAGAGACAAAUCUUGCUGCAUUGACGCUACCAACGAUAUAUUUCAUGAGGGUCGAAUGAUAAAUGAUGCCGAAAAUGGAGACGCAAAACAAAAUUGUGUAAUGAAAAUAGUUGAAGUCAACCAAGCUCCCCAUCUAUGCACUUUCGCCGA